CGUGUGGGCAACCUGCCCUGUACUGGGGAAUAAUCAUUGGAAACGAUGACUAAUACCGCAUGUGGUCCUCGGAAGGCAUCUUCUGAGGAAGAAAGGAUUUAUUCGGUACAGGAUGGGCCCGCAUCUGAUUAGCUAGUUGGUGAGAUAGCAGCCCACCAAGGCGACGAUCAGUAGCCGACCUGAGAGGGUGAUCGGCCACAUUGGGACUGAGACACGGCCCAA
rnacentral:rRNA from 1 species